GGUGGGUUGGCUCAGUGGUUAGUGCGUAGGUCUCGUAACCGAAAGGUCGCGGGAUCGAAUCCCGCUAGAGGCUG
rnacentral:tRNA from 1 species